UACGAGGGGGGCAAAUGUUGUUCGGAAUCACUGGGCGUAAAGGGAGCGUAGGCGGUGCUCUAAGUUCGGUGUGAAAUCUCCUGGCUUAACUGGGAGGGUGCGCCGGAAACUGGAGUGCUCGAACGUGGGAGAGGAAAGCGGAAUUCCUGGUGUAGCGGUGAAAUGCGUAGAUAUCAGGAGGAACACCUGCGGUGUAGACGGCUUUCUGGACCAUUGUUGACGCUGAGACACGAAAGCGUGGGUAGCAAACAGG
rnacentral:rRNA from 1 species